UCGAGAAUAUUCCACAAUGGACGAAAGUCUGAUGGAGCGACGCCGCGUGCAGGAUGAAGGCCCUUGGGUUGUAAACUGCUUUUGUAAGGGAAGAAUUUCGAUGACGGUACCUUACGAAUAAGAGGUUACUAACUCUGUGCCAGCAGUAGCGGUAAUACAGAGACCUCAAGCGUUAUCCGGAUUUAUUGGGCGUAAAGAGCUGGUAGGUUGUUAUAUUAGUCAGAUGUCAAAUCUUCGAGCUCAACUCGAAAACUGCAUUUGAAACGGUAUAACUAGAGGGUGUGAGAGAUCUAUGGAACUCAUGGUGUAGCAGUGAAAUGCGUUGAUAUCAUGAGGAACACCAAAGGCGAAGGCAUUAGAUUGGCACACUCCUGACACUGAGCAGCGAAAGCGUGGGUAGCGAAUGGG
rnacentral:rRNA from 1 species